AACGAACGCUGGCGGCAUGCCUAACACGUGCAAGUCGAACGAGAUCUUCGGGUCUAGUGGCGCACGGGUGCGUAACGCGUGGGAAUCUGCCCUUUGGUUCGGAAUAACAGUUGGAAACGACUGCUAAUACCGGAUGAUGACGAAAGUCCAAAGAUUUAUCGCCAGAGGAUGAGCCCGCGUAGGAUUAGCUAGUUGGUGUGGUAAAGGCGCACCAAGGCGACGAUCCUUAGCUGGUCUGAGAGGAUGAUCAGCCACACUGGGACUGAGACAUGGCCCAGACUCCUACGGGAGGCAGCAGUGGGGAAUAUUGGACCAUGGGCGAAAGCCUGAUCCAGCAAUGCCGCGUGAGUGAUGAAGGCCUUAGGGUUGUAAAGCUCUUUUACCCGGGAUGAUAAUGACAGUACCGGGAGAAUAAGCUCCGGCUAACUCCGUGCCAGCCGCCGCCGUAA
rnacentral:rRNA from 1 species